rnacentral:tRNA from 1 species
GUUGUGGCUCAGAGGUAGAGUGCUCACCUAGCAAGUGUGAGGCACUGGGUUCGACCCUCAGCACAACA